UACGUAGGGUGCGAGCGUUAAUCGGAAUUACUGGGCGUAACGCGCACGCAGGCGGUCUGAUCAGUCAGAAGUGAAAGCCCCGGGCUUAACCUGGGAACUGCUUUUGAUACUGUCAGGCUUGAAUCACGGAGAGGGUAGUGGAAUACCGAGUGUAGAGGUGAAAUUCGUAGAUAUUCGGAAGAACACCAGUGGCGAAGGCGACUACCUGGCCGUCGAUUGACGCUCAUGUGCGAAAGCGCGGGGAGCAAACAGGAUUAGAUACCCUGGUAGUCCACGCCGUAAACGAUGAGUGCUAGUUGUUGGGGUGCUUGCACCUCAGUGACGCAGCUAACGCGUUAAGCACUCCGCCUGGGGAGUACGGCCGCAAGGUUAAA
rnacentral:rRNA from 1 species